GACUGCAGCUAGAAAGCCUCGAGGGAAUUGCAGAAGCCGGACCGCGUCUGGCUUUCUCUAAUCAUGCUGGCAGAGUGUGCACAAGCAAGUAAAAAUGCAUGACCUCUGCAUGGAGGGACUGGGAUAGACCGCUUUCGUUUUCUUUUUUAAUCAUUUCAUUAGAGGCUCAUACAACUCCU
rnacentral:snoRNA from 1 species